rnacentral:piRNA from 1 species
UUGUAUAACAAAUACCUCAUGGGAGAUGCC